CCCAGUGCGCAUGCGCGCGCCUACGCCCCGCUCCCAGUAAACGCGGCACGGCGGAGUGGAGAGUGAAGAAGAUCUGGGACAUGCGGUCCCUUGGACUGCGGGUCUGCUCCACUGGCCCGCAGUGGUCUGGGGCUCAGAGUGGAGAGAAAUGUGGAGCAGAACGAAACCUGGCCUCGUGGCUCCGAUGGGCCCGUGACAAGUGGAAGUGGGGGCCCAGUGCUUGCUCUGCUGCCUGCCUUCCUUGCUAAACACAAAGAAACCCUGUAAUAGCGUGCUUAGUGUUGCAUAUGCUCCAAUUUAUCCGUAAGAAGUGGGAUUGAACCAAAGCAAACAUCCUUGUGGAAUUAAAGAAGUUUUACAAGGCAGACCUCCCUGAGCAGCAGCAGUUCUGCGGUGAGGAUGGAAAAUAAGAACUUUUUAAGAAGCUGGAAAUUUGGGUUUCAGUAUGAAAUCUGAUUGUUAAAUAUUAGACUAUGGCUCAACUCUUCUCUAAUGGAAUGAACAACAAGGCACAAUCUGGCCACAUUCAGCAGUGAGUCAUGUGAACAACAUGUGAUCUCAUACAAAUCCAGUGGGGGACAGUCUUCUGGUUUAAGUGAUUUAACCUGUUUGCCGGCUCCUCCCUUCAAGGCUCUCUGCGUCUUUCUCCCUCCUUUCUUGGAACAAACUGGUACAACUUGAGACUGAAGAUCUGGGCUAAGAAAAUUGAGGAAAAGUAUGAGGAAAACUCAGAAUUUCUGAGUAGGUCCAUGAGGCCUGUUUACAUCUCCUAGUUACAGCACCCCUAUUGUGGGAUGGAGGAAGGUGAAAAUCAAACCAGAAAGUUUCUUACUGGGCAUGGAAUUAGAACAAAGAAAAGUUGAAAACUUGUUUUAAAUUUUCUAAUAAGAGAAUUUCGAAACAUAAAAGUAGAAUAACUACAAUGAACUUUCAUAUACUCAUAAACCAGUUUCAACAACAA